GCCUUUCUGAGGGUAACCUGAGCGGGAGAAGUUGUUGCGCCUGAUCUCAAACAGCCUUUCGCACGGAAAAGGAUUCCUAAAAGUGGGGUUACUCCUCCACAGCAAUAGCGUCCUUAAAAUAGGGGCUCCCGGCUGGGCGCGGUGGCUCACCCCUGUAAUCCCAGCACUUGAGAGGCCAAGACAGGCGGAUCACCUGAGGUUGGGAGUUCGAGACCAGCCUGAACAACAUGGAGAAACCCCCUCUCUACUAAAAAUACAAAAUUAGCCGGGUGUGGUGGCGCAUGCCUGUAAUACAAGCUACUCGGGAGGCUGAGGCAGGAGAAUCGCUUGAACCUGGGAGGCGGAAGUUGCGGUGAGCCGAGAUGGCGCCAUUGCACUAUAGCCUGGGCAGCGGCAAGAGCGAAACUCCGUCUCAAAAAAAAAAAAAAAAAAAAAACUAUAUAUCUAUCUAUCAUCUAUCUAUCUAUCUAUCUAUCUAUCUAUCUAUCUAUCUAUCUAGGCUGCCGGUGAGGACGUGAGGCACGUGCCACUGAGCCACUGAGAAUUUACCCCCCUGGGCAAGUCUGUGAGGCCAGGGCCCCUAGGGAAAAAAGCCUUUCCCAGAUUUUAGGGCUCAUAUGCCUGCAGUGGGUUGGUAGGGAUCGGGGAAGAUGAUGAGGUUGGGAUAAGGAAGUGGUACCAAUAGAAAGACUAAGCAAACCAAACCAAAUCAAACUUUCCCCUUUCCAUCCCUGUCCUCCUCUUUGCAAUCCCAUUUGGGUGGCUGAAGGCAGACCCUGACCAGAGCCAUCCUUGCCGGCUUCUUUUGUCUUGCUCUGUGGGGAAACGAGUGAAGAAAAAAGCAGAAGGAAAGGUAUCCCCUGUUCAGUUCAGACUGAACCUGAGGGGGUGUAGGGAUGUACUCCAGGCUGGAGUGAAGUGGCAUGAUCUCGGCUCACUGCAACGUCUGCUUUCUAGGCUCAAGAGAUCCUCCCAACUCAGCCUCCUGAGUAACUGGGAUUUCAGGUGAGCACAACCAUGCCCAGCUAAUUUUUGUAUUUUU
rnacentral:lncRNA from 1 species